rnacentral:rRNA from 1 species
UAAUACGGAGGGUGCGAGCGUUGUCCGGAAUCACUGGGCGUAAAGGGCGCGUAGGCGGCUUCUUAAGCGUGCGGUGAAAGCCCGGGGCUCAACCCCGGGUCGGCCGUGCGAACUGGGGGGCUGGAGCACUGUAGAGGCAGAUGGAAUUCCGGGUGUAGCGGUGGAAUGCGUAGAGAUCCGGAAGAACACCGGUGGCGAAGGCGGUCUGCUGGGCAGUGGCUGACGCUGAUGCGCGACAGCGUGGGGAGCAAACAGGAUUAGAUACCCUGGUAGUCCACGCCGUAAACGAUGGGCACUAGGUGCUUGGGGGAGCGACCCUCCGAGUGCCGGCGCUAACGCAUUAAGUGCCCCGCCUGGGGAGUACGGCCGCAAGGCUG